UAAGGAGGUGAUUGAUACUCUGGUGGCGGAGGCGAUUUGUAGUAAUAAGGUGGUGGGGGUGGUGACUCGUAUUUGUAGGGAGGUGGUGGAGGGGAUUCAUACUUGUAUGGAGGCGGUGGAGGUGACUCAUACUUGUACGGAGGUGGAGGUGGGGAUUCAUACUUGUAAGGUGGUGGUGGUGGUGACUCGUAUUUGUACGGAGGUGGAGGUGGGGAUUCAUACUUGUAAGGUGGUGGUGGUGGUGACUCGUAUUUGUAGGGAGGUGGUGGUGGCGACUCAUACUUGUAUGGAGGCGGUGGAGGAGAUUUGUAAUAGUAAGGUGGUGGUGGUGGUGACUCGUAUUUAUAUGGAGGUGGUGGCGGGGAUUCAUAUUUGUAGGGAGGUGGUGGAGGGGACUUGUAGUAGUAAGGUGGAGGAGGAGGCGAUUCAUACUUGUAGGGAGGUGGAGGUGGGGAUUCAUAUUUGUAUGGUGGGGGUGGCGGAGACUUGUAGUAAUAAGGUGGAGGGGGCGACUUGUAUUUGUAAACUGGGGGUGGCGGAGACUCGUAUUUGUAGACUGGUGGUGGCGGCGACUCAUACUUGUAUGGAGGCGGUGGAGGAGAUUUGUAAUAGUAAGGUGGUGGGGGUGGUGACUCGUAUUUGUAGGGAGGUGGUGGCGGGGAUUCAUACUUGUAGGGAGGUGGCGGCGGGGAUUUGUAGUAAUAAGGAGGUGGUGGUGGAGAUUCAUACUUGUACGGAGGAGGAGGUGGAGACUCGUACUUGUAUGGAGGUGGCGGCGGGGAUUUGUAGUAAUAAGGUGGUGGCGGGGGUGACUUGUAUUUGUAAACUGGCGGUGGUGGAGAUUCGUACUUGUAUGGAGGUGGCGGGGGGGAUUUGUAGUAAUAAGGUGGUGGUGGUGGAGAUUCAUACUUGUACGGAGGAGGAGGUGGAGACUCGUACUUGUAUGGAGGUGGCGGUGGGGAUUUGUAGUAAUAAGGUGGUGGCGGAGGUGACUUGUAUUUGUAAACUGGUGGUGGUGGAGAUUCAUACUUGUACGGAGGAGGUGGUGGCGACUCGUACUUGUAUGGUGGUGGUGGAGGGGACUUGUAGUAAUAAGGUGGAGGUGGCGGGGAUUCAUACUUGUAUGGAGGUGGUGGUGGUGACUCGUACUUGUAUGGUGGUGGUGGCGACUUGUAUUUGUAAACUGGGGGUGGCGGAGUCUCAUAUUUGUAGACUGGAGGUGGCGGGGAUUCAUAUUUGUAUGGAGGUGGUGGUGGGGACUUGUAAUAGUAAGGUGGUGGAGGCGGGGACUCGUAUUUGUAAGGAGGAGGAGGCGGCGAUUCGUAUUUGUAGGGAGGUGGUGGUGGGGAUUUGUAAUAGUACGGUGGAGGGGGCGGGGAUUUGUAAUAGUAUGGAGACGGUG
rnacentral:lncRNA from 1 species